UACGUAGGGAGCAAGCGUUGUCCGGAAUCAUUGGGCGUAAAGCGCGCGUAGGCGGCCCUGUAAGUCCGUUGUGAAAGUCAAAGGCUCAACCUUCGAAAGCCGAUGGAUACUGCAGGGCUGGAGUCCGGAAGAGGCGAGUGGAAUUCCUGGUGUAGCGGUGAAAUGCGCAGAUAUCAGGAAGAACACCCGUGGCUAAGGCGGCUCUCUAGUACGGUACUGACGCUGAGACGCGAAAGCGUGGGGAGCGAACAGG
rnacentral:rRNA from 1 species